AGGUGUUCAAGGUAUUCAGCCUAAGGGACAAGCCAUCCAUAAGAGGAAAAACAGAAGGGCAUUUGUCCUGCAUGAUGUUACUGAACUGCUGAAUUGUCGCAUUCCACCAGGCAUUCUUCACCUAAGGGACAAGUGGACGGAUGCCAGGGGUCUGAAAGGAGCAGUGUUUGUCAUGGAUGGAGGUGUGUGUGAAGGAGGCAUCCUGAGCAGCAGGAUUAAAAAUCACAAAGAAAGAUGCCUGGAAGGGUAGCUGGCCCCACCACAUGUGGCCACACCCACAUGAAUGCCAACAGCAGGUCUCUGAGGGGAGGCACACAGCAGAAAGAGCACAGCCCGACUUGCAGAUGCCUUUUGGAGCUGGUAGCCUGGUAUGUGUUUUGAUUUGAGGAUUCCGCAAAU